rnacentral:rRNA from 1 species
AGUGAACGCUGGCGGUAGGCCUAACACAUGCAAGUCGAACGGCAGCACAGUAAGAGCUUGCUCUUACGGGUGGCGAGUGGCGGACGGGUGAGGAAUACAUCGGAAUCUACUUUUUCGUGGGGGAUAACGUAGGGAAACUUACGCUAAUACCGCAUACGACCUACGGGUGAAAGCAGGGGAUCUUCGGACCUUGCGCGAUUGAAUGAGCCGAUGUCGGAUUAGCUAGUUGGCGGGGUAAAGGCCCACCAAGGCGACGAUCCGUAGCUGGUCUGAGAGGAUGAUCAGCCACACUGGAACUGAGACACGGUCCAGACUCCUACGGGAGGCAGCAGUGGGGAAUGUUGGACAAUGGGCGCAAGCCUGAUCCAGCCAUACCGCGUGGGUGAAGAAGGCCUUCGGGUUGUAAAGCCCUUUUGUUGGGAAAGAAAAGCAGCAGGUUAAUACCCCGCUGUUCUGACGGUACCCAGAGAAUAAGCACCGGCUAACUUCGUG